UUUAUUUUAUACUUACAUAAUUUUUUAUUUUUAUUUAUUUUUAAUUUAAAUAAUUUUAUGAAUUUAUUGUUUUUGUAUUUUUUAGAUUAAAUAAUUUUAGUAAUAGUAAAUUAGUACAGUGUUGGAUUGUUUAAUAAAAAUUUUUAUUUAUAAUUAAAGUAAAUUUAAUUUGUUGUACCUUUUGUAUCAGGGUUUAUUUAUAUUUAAAUAUAUAAUAUAUUUAUCCCGAAUUUGGUAGAGCUAAAUUUAUAUGAAAUUCUUUGUUUCAAAAAAGUUUUUAAUUUAAAUUUAGUAAUGAAAUAUUAAACGGUACCUAAUAUAUCUGGUUUUUCAAGAUUUUAAUUUAAUUAAUUUAUUUAUUUUGCAAUUUGGUUUUGUUAAAAAUUUUUUGCAAUUAAAUAAAAUAUUUUUUUGGGAUAAGCUAAGGAAAUAUUUUUUAUAAUAAUCUAAUUUUUAAUAAUAAAUAGGAUUAGAAAUUUCCAUUUUUUGUUAAAGUGUUAUAAUUAAUUUUAUUUAUAAAAUUAACUUUUUUUUUAUUUAAUUUUUUAUUGAAAUAUUCGUUUUAAUUAUAUUUUUUUGUAAUAAUGAUAAAAUUAGUAUUAUUUAUUUUAAUAAUAUAAAUUAUUAUAAAGAUUGAAGUAAGGAAUUCAGCAAUUUUUAUACUCGCCUGUUUAUCAAAAACAUGUCUUUUUGAUUAUAAUUUAAAGUCUAGUCUGCCCACUGAAGUAUUUUUAAGGGCCGCAGUAUUUUGACUGUGCAAAGGUAGCAUAAUCAUUUGCCUUUUAAUUAGAGGCUGGAAUGAAUGGCUGGACGAAGUAUAUACUGUCUCAUUUUAAAAAAAAUAAAAAUUUAACUUUUGAGUCAAAAGGCUUAAAUUUGUUUAGAGGACGAGAAGACCCUAUAGAUCUUUAUAGACUUUUAUAUAAAAAUUUAUAGAGAAAAAUUAUUUUUUAUACAAAAGUUUAUUUUGUUGGGGUGACAUUAAGAUUAAUUUAACUCUUAAAGUGUAAAAACAUUAAUUUAUGAAUUUUUGAUCCAUUAUUAUUGAUUAUUAGAAUAAGUUACCUUAGGGAUAACAGCGUAAUUUUAUUGGAGAGUUCUAAUCGAUAAUGAAGAUUGCGACCUCGAUGUUGAAUUAAAGAUAUUUCUGGGUGCAGAAGCUUGGAGAAAUGGGUCUGUUCGACCUUUAAAUCUUUACAUGAUUUGAGUUCAGACCGGCGUGAGCCAGGUCGGUUUCUAUCCUUAAUUAAUUACCUUGAUUUAGUACGAAAGGACCAUUUAGGGAAAAUAUUUUUUUAUUAUUGAUUACAAUUAAUUUUU
rnacentral:rRNA from 1 species